rfam:Salmo salar isolate Sally breed double haploid chromosome ssa21, whole genome shotgun sequence.
GCCUUCCCCGUGGCUCAGUUGGUAGAGCAUGGUGUUUGCAACGCCAGGGUUGUGGGUUUGAUUCCCACGGGGGGCC